rnacentral:rRNA from 1 species
GACGAACGCUGGCGGCGUGCUUAACACAUGCAAGUCGAACGGUAAGGCCCUUCGGGGUACACGAGUGGCGAACGGGUGAGUAACACGUGGGUGAUCUGCCCUGCACUUCGGGAUAAGCCUGGGAAACUGGGUCUAAUACCGGAUAGGACUCCGGACUGCAUGGUCUGGGGUGGAAAGCUUUUGCGGUGUGGGAUGGGCCCGCGGCCUAUCAGCUUGUUGGUGGGGUGAUGGCCUACCAAGGCGAAGACGGGUAGCCGGCCUGAGAGGGUGACCGGCCACACUGGGGGUGCGAUACGGCCCGGACUCCUGCGGGAGGCGGCAGUGGGGAAUAUUGCACAAUGGCGGCAAGCCUGAUGCAGCGACGCCGCGUGAGGGAUGACGGCCGUCGGGUUGUAAACCUCUUUCAGCACAGACGAAGCGCAAGUGACGGUAUGUGCAGAAGAAGGACCGGCCAACUACGUGCCAGCCGCCGCCGUAA